rnacentral:rRNA from 1 species
GAACGGGUGAGUAAUGCGUCGGAACGUACCGAGUAAUGGGGGAUAACGCAGCGAAAGUUGUGCUAAUACCGCAUACGCCCUGAGGGGGAAAGUGGGGGACCUGCAAGGCCUCACGUUAUUCGAGCGGCCGACGUCUGAUUAGCUAGUUGGUGGGGUAAAGGCCUAACCAAGGCGACGAUCAGUAGCGGGUCUGAGAGGAUGAUCCUGCCACACUGGGACUGAGACACGGCCCAGACUCCUACGGGAGGCAGCAGUGGGGAAUUUUGGACAAUGGGGGCAACCCUGAUCCAGCCAUUCCGCGUGAGUGAAGAAGGCCUUCGGGUUGUAAAGCUCUUUCAGCAUGGAACGAAACGGCUACGCGCUAACAUGCGUGUGCUAAUGACGGUACCGGCAGAAGAAGCACCGGCUAACUACGUGCCAGCAGCCGCGGUAAUACGUAGGGUGCGAGCGUUAAUCGGAAUUACUGGGCGUAAAGCGUGCGCAGGCGGAUUGUUAAGCAAGAUGUGAAAUCCCCGGGCUUAACCUGGGAAUGGCAUUUUGAACUGGCAGUCUAGAGUGCGUCAGAGGGGGGUGGAAUUCCACGUGUAGCAGUGAAAUGCGUAGAGAUGUGGAGGAACACCGAUGGCGAAGGCAGCCCCCUGGGAUGACACUGACGCUCAUGUACGAAAGCGUGGGUAGCAAACAGGAUUAGAUACCCUGGUAGUCCACGCCCUAAACGAUGUCAACUGGUUGUUGGGGGAGUGAAAUCCCUUAGUAACGAAGCUAACGCGUGAAGUUGACCGCCU